GGUCUGAUGGCUUAGUGGUAAAAUGCAUUGUGUAGUUUACCAUUGGUCCUGGGUUCAAUUCCCGGUCAGUACA